rnacentral:snoRNA from 1 species
AGCACGCUUUAUUAUGAUGACUAGAGUGCAUUUGGCUCGAGAUCUAGUUUACUGGGUCGAUGUGGAAAAACACACGCUACCUUUAACUUUUGUCUGAAU